UACGGGGGGGAGCAAGCGUUGUUCGGAUUUACUGGGCGUAAAGGGCGCGUAGGCGGCGUGACAAGUCACUUGUGAAAUCUCCGGGCUUAACUCGGAACGGUCAAGUGAUACUGUCGUGCUAGAGUACAGAAGGGGCAACUGGAAUUCUCGGUGUAGCGGUGAAAUGCGUAGAUAUCAGGAGGAACACCGGUGGCGAAGGCGGGUCUCUGGGCCGAUACUGACGCUGAGGAGCGAAAGCGUGGGGAGCGAACAGG
rnacentral:rRNA from 1 species